GAGUUUGAUCAUGGUUCAGGACGAACGCUGGCGGCGUGCCUAACACAUGCAAGUCGAACGAAGCUUUUGAUUUCGGUUGAGAGCUUAGUGGCGGACGGGUGAGUAAUGCGUGAGUAACCUGCCUUACAGAGGGGGAUAACGUCUGGAAACGGACGCUAAUACCGCAUGACAUUUCUUUAUCACAUGGUAAAGAAAUCAAAGGAGCAAUCCGCUGUAAGAUGGACUCGCGUCCGAUUAGCUAGAUGGUGAGAUAACAGCCCACCAUGGCGACGAUCGGUAGCCGGACUGAGAGGUUGAACGGCCACAUUGGGACUGAGACACGGCCCAGACUCCUACGGGAGGCAGCAGUGGGGGAUAUUGCACAACGGAGGAAACUCUGAUGCAGCAACGCCGCGUGAAGGAUGAAGGUCUUCGGAUUGUAAACUUUUGUACUUGGGGACGAUAAUGACGGUACCCAAGCAGCAAGCUCCGGCUAACUACGUGCCAGCAGCCGCGGUAAUACGUAGGGAGCAAGCGUUGUCCGGAUUUACUGGGUGUAAAGGGUGCGUAGGCGGCUAUGCAAGUCAGUUGUGAAAACUAUGGGCUCAACCCAUAGCCUGCAAUUGAAACUGCGUGGCUUGAGUGAAGUAGAGGUAGGUGGAAUUCCCGGUGUAGCGGUGAAAUGCGUAGAGAUCGGGAGGAACACCAGUGGCGAAG
rnacentral:rRNA from 1 species